GAUGAACGCUGGCGGCGUGCCUAACACAUGCAAGUCGAGCGAGAAGCUGUCAACUGAAUCUUCGGAUGAAGGCGAGAGUGGAAAGCGGCGGACGGGUGAGUAACGCGUAGGCAACCUGCCCCUUGCAGAGGGAUAGCCACUGGAAACGGUGAUUAAAACCUCAUAAUGCUCUUUGUUCACAUGUAUAGAGAGCCAAAGAUUUAUCGGCAAGGGAUGGGCCUGCGUCUGAUUAGCUAGUUGGUGAGGUAACGGCUCACCAAGGCGACGAUCAGUAGCCGACCUGAGAGGGUGAUCGGCCACAUUGGAACUGAGACACUGUCCAAACUCCUACGGGAGGCAGCAGUGGGGAAUAUUGCACAAUGGGCGAAAGCCUGAUGCAGCAACGCCGCGUGAAGGAAGAAGGUCUUCGGAUCGUAAACUUCUGUCCUUGGGGAAGAAGAACUGACGGUACCCAAGGAGGAAGCCCCGGCUAACUACGUGCCAGCAGCCGCCGUCGUAACAC
rnacentral:rRNA from 1 species